rnacentral:rRNA from 1 species
CCUCCAAGGCUAAAUACUACCUAGUGACCGAUAGCGUAUAGUACCGGGAGGGAAAGGUGAAAAGAACCCCGGGAGGGGAGUGAAAUAGAACCUGAAACCCUGCACUUACAAGCUGUGGAAGCACAUUGCUUGUGUGACCGCGUACUUUUUGUAGAACGGGCCAACGAGUUACGUUAAGUAGCAAGGUUAAGCACUUAAGGUGCGGAGCCGUAGCGAAAGCGAGUUUUAACUGAGCGUUCAGUUACUUGACGUAGACCCGAAACCGGGCGACC